CAAUGUGAUAAUCCUCCAUCUUGGAAAGAUCCUUUUCAUCAUGGUAUGGGACUUCUAGAAGUCUCUUUGCUGAAAGAAUGGCACUUCAGGAAUGGAAAUUCCUACUUUGUUAGGUCAACGGUGAGAAAUUUGAGGAAAGGAGGGGUGGGUUGUAGAGGUAGCAUAACAUGGCAGAAAGAACACAACAGAAAGAGCACACCUAGAGAACUGAUGUUCCAGGUCACCAUUUCUAACUGUGUGAUGCGAACAGUCCCUCACUUUGCAGAAGCCAAGUUUCCUCAUAGUACAUUUCUCAUAGCGGUGUUGAGGUCAACUGGGAUAGUUGAUGGGAAAGCCCUUUGUAAUCAGUAAAGACAUGUCAAAGUACAAGGUAUUGUUACUCUUCCAGCAGCACUCCUCAAAGGCCAGAGUCCCGAGCUGCCAAGAACGCCAGCCCCUUGCAAGGUAGCCACUUGGCAAGAAAGGCGGGCAAAAUUGUUCUAUCCUUUUCCACCUCAUUCUGUAGAAAGUACUAAUAAACAACAAUAACCAAUGAAACCCUUGUUAAAAUCUUUACAUCAUCAAGGUUAACUCUAAUUUUUUCAUCUUUUCUCAAACGUUGAUUUCUUAGAUUUGUACGGCAACAAAUUCUCCUGUGUAAUAGGUGGAUAGUCCACUUGAAUUCGUUUUUGUGAAUGCUACACAUUUAAGCGUCAUUUUGCAUCUGAUCAGUUCUCCCUAAUCUUUGGAAGACAUUUCCCAUUUCUGGUAUUCACUCAGUGUCUUUCUGCUUAUUCAAUUUGCUGUGGAAUCCUGGCUGUCACAGGAGGUCUCAGAACAGCCUGGAUGAGAGCUGACAGCUUCCCUGCUCCUCACUGACUUGGGAUUCCCAGAGCGCUCUCCCCACAGCUUCUGACCUGAGCUGUGCAAACCCAGAUUCCCUCGCUUCCCAGCAGCCCAGCCUUCUUCCUUGGGAAUCAGGUUGGCAAGGAUGUAUGCCGUCAGAUGGCUUUCUGCUGAGUGACUCAGGAGGAGGAGGAAACCAGCCUGCCGCCUUCAGAGCAUUCACAGCCCAGGGAGCUGCUGCACCCCUCUGCUGAAUAGGGCUUGAAUAGACACCCGCCGCAGGCAGACAGGUCAGCAGGGAACGGACUGCAGAGGAAG
rnacentral:lncRNA from 1 species